UGAUUGUAUAGAGCCUGUGACAAGCCACC
rnacentral:sRNA from 1 species